UACGGGGGGGGCAAGCGUUGUUCGGAAUUAUUGGGCGUAAAGGGCGCGUAGGCGGCCAUGCGUGUCUUCCGUGAAAUCCCUCGGCUUAACUGAGGACGUGCGGAAGAAACUGCAAGGCUCGAGUCCGGGAGAGGGGGGUGGAAUUCCCAGUGUAGCGGUGAAAUGCGUAGAUAUUGGGAGGAACACCGGUGGCGAAGGCGGCCCCCUGGACCGGUAUUGACGCUGAGGCGCGAAAGCGUGGGUAGCAAACGGG
rnacentral:rRNA from 1 species